rnacentral:tRNA from 1 species
AGAGUAUAGCUCAGUGGUAGAUCAGAUGCUUAGCAUGCAUAAAGCCUGGGUUUGAUUCUCAGUACCUCUG